AACGCCGGCUCUUCCCUAGUCGCGCACUCCGAAAGGUCACCGCGCAGUAAAGUUUGGUUUCACAAACGGGCUUGGACGCUACUGACAAAAGCAAAGUCUCCCAAGUCGAGAGNNNNNNNNNNNCGGGGAGCGCCCGGAAGCCCAGCAGGACACAGUGCCCCGCAGGGACGGGGUUGGACGUGUGGCGACCCUGCCGCGGAGAACCCUAGGCUCAACCCACUCCCCCAGGACCCCGGGCGGGGACGGGAGCCGCCGGCGGAGGCGGCGGGUUCAGCUCAGUUCAGUUCAGUCACUCGGUUGUGUCCGACUCUUUGCGACCCCAUGA
rnacentral:lncRNA from 1 species